AUUCCAUGCCCUUCUCUUUAAUCCUCCUGACUCCGUCUGACACCGGACGGUUAAGAUCCGAUUAACCAAAUCUAAUCAAAUCUAAUAAAAUUUGUCGACGUUCUCACGCGCCGCGGCCAAUCAAGUGGAAGAAGAUGGUGGAUCCAGCCACCACGCCGCUCGGCAAAAUGCUUUUGGACAAGAUCACGCCCGUCGUCAUGCUGCUCCUGCUCCUCUCGUUGAAGAAUCUUGCCUCAAGAACGGCUUCUUUUUGCUCCAGAUGCUCAACUGUUAUGUAACUUCACUAACAUCGACGGUCAAUUUCUCAAUCCUCUGACCUCUCUCUUUAUAAAAUAUUAAUGUCAAUGACUGGAACUUGAGAUGUUUGCUUCUGUGAAAUUUGACGAUAUGGUGCCAGUACGGGCAUUUGGCUUAUCUAUAAGAAUUCGUAUCUGUGUAUUUAUGUUUAACUGAGCUGAGCUUGGGGUGUUAGCAUCUUUGAAAAUUUAAUGGCGUGGUGCCUGUACGGACAUUGAACGUUAUGUUUAUGUGUGUAUCAAUUGAGUAGAAUUUGCGUGUAUGGACUUUGGGUCUUUGAAUUUGAGGGUGCAGUGCUUGCGUGGACAUCGAGCUUAUGUGUAGGUGUAUUUAUGUGUGUGCUUGCAUGUCAGUUGCGUAGAAUUUUAAGUUUUUGGAUCUUUGAUGGUGCAGUGCCGGUAAGGACUGUGAGUGAUAAACCCUACAGGCUACAAAAGUUAAAGUUACGAUUGUUUUAUGAGUCUGAUAUUCGGCAGCCAAAUUUAGAGGUAUCGGUGUUCAUUAAAUUAUCCAUUUCGUAGCUUGAGGAAAUUAAUUUUAUGAGUUGGCCUGAUAGACAGUCCAUGUAUUCUUUAUUUAUUGGGCAAAAAUCAAAGCUAAUAUAGUGCAAUAGUGUAUAAAUAAGGGAUGCUUAUUUGAAAUGAAAGAUGAAUUAGGAGAUAAGAGAGUGGAAAUAGAAAGGGGCUAUGAAAAUAUACUUGAAGCAAUAUUAGGUUUCCACAUUCAUGGGCAUCUCUUAUUAUAUUUUUAUUUGGUAGGAAAUAAACUAUCAAUGGAAGACCUAAAACUCUUCAACCGAAUCAUCAUUGUGGAUGUUGAAUAAUAUGAAUGGAAUACCCUACAGGUUACAUAAGUUCAAGUUAUGAUUGUUUUAUGAGUCUGAUAUUCAGCAGCCGAAUAUAGAGGUAUUGGUGUUCAUUAAAUUAUCCAUUUCUUAUCUUGAGGAAAUUAAUUUUAUGAGUUGGCCUGAUCAAUAGUCAAUGCAUUGUUUGUUUAUUGGGCAAAAACAAAGCUAAUCUAGUGCAAUAGCAUAUAAAUAAGGGAUGCUUAUUUGAGAUGAAAGAUGAAUUAAGAGAUAGAGAGUGCAAAUAAGGGGCUAUGAAAAUAUACUUGAAGCAAUAUUAGGUUUCAAUAGUCGUGGGCAUCUCCUAUUAUAUUCUUAUUUGGUAGGAAAUGAACUAGCAGUUAAAGACUUAAAACUCUUCAACUGAAUCAUCAUUGUGGAUGUUGUUAAUGUUCUUUAUCUGACAAUGUUUUUUUGUAACCAAGGAGCGGCUGAAGCAAGUUAUUGCCCAGGCUUGGGAGAAAGACCUUUCUGAAUCAUUUUUAGACCCUAAUUAAUAAUGCAGUUGGUAGAUCUGAAUCUGAAAAUUUUCCAUCUUGGUUUCAGAUCUUGAAUUAAGAGCUCAUACAUAUUGUGUCCUUUCAGACCAUGAAGCUUUUGACCAUCCUGUGGCAUGUCUUCUGGUUGUUUCUUCUAAGGAAGAGCAGUUUUGACUUGUGUGCAUAUGAACUAUGGUUAAAAGUUUUGGAAAGUAUGUUAUCUUGUGAUGAUGUGUGAAAAGGGGAUUGGAUUUAAUACAAUUUCGUGUAUUGAGGUAGAAUCCUUAGUAUGGUAAUAGGCUUGACUGGUGUGCAUAUGAACAUUGGUAAAGUUCUGGGAAGUAUGCUGUUGGGUAGCUGGGCAACUCUUCUUCCAGCAGAACUCUUUGUCAGCCUCCUCAGAGUUCCAGACACUGCUUCACCUUAAAUUUUCUUCUUAAUAAACACAAACAGCAACACAAACACAAGCAACUCACAACAAUGUAACAGUAGAAAUUGAGACAAUUUCUGGAAAUACGUAUUUUUAUUUGAUUACUAAUAUAGUGGUCAAAUUUAUAA